rnacentral:lncRNA from 10 species
AGAACGCGCUGGGAUGGGAACCGCGUUCAGGAGCUGCUAAGCGCGUUUGAGACUUCAGCCCCUUCUCCAGCUUUUAACCUAAAAGGGCUAAAUCAGACCGCAGCUAGUGUACACCCCUACCCUCCGCUGAUCCCGUCACCCCUGCGCCGAAAGCAAAAGACCCAUUCCAGCUCUGGACGUUGUGAGGCCUGGCCCAGGCGUCCGCUCUCUGGUUUUCCUAUUGAUCUUACCCCUGGUAUUGUGAUUGGCCUCUUUAUCUAUGUCUUACCCGCCCCAACUGUGAAUGCUUUCCAAAAUUAUAAGCCGAUGUCCUGACAGGCAAAAACAUAAUAAUAGCAGAUUUAUGGCGGAAGAUGAGUUCAGUUUUGAACAUACUCGAUCUGGAAGAAUAAAGUGGAGGUGACUGCAAUGGAAAACCAACAGUGCGUUGCUGAGAGCCUGUGUAGGCAGUAAGGAUAUGCAUUGAUGGUGGAGAAGAUAAAAACAAUACCGAAGCCAACUGCAGGAUGGUUUGCUUUUAAUUAUCAUCAUGUGUCAGAAAAUUCUAAACAAUGUUAAUGAAAAAGUACUCCUUUCCAAACAAAAGCUUUGUUUAGUCUUAGUUCUAAGCAAUGGCUGCAAUUACUGUUGAUUUUUUUUUCUUUUUUCUUUUCUUUUUUUUUUUUUUCCAAACAGGGUCUUGCUGUCUCGCCCAAGCCGGAGUGCCGUGGCACACCCUAGGCUCGCUGUAACCUCUGCCUCCUGGGCUCAAGCGAUCCUCCCACCUCAUCUUCCAGGGUACCUGCGACCACAGGCUCCUGCACCACGCCCGGCUAAUUUUUUAUUACUAUUACUAUCAUUAUUUUUGUAGCGAUGACAUCUCCCUAUGUUGCCCAGGCUGGUCUUGAACCCCUGAGCUCAAGUGAUCCUCCCACCUGGGCCUCCCACAGUGCUCGAAUUACAGGCGUGAACCACCACACCAGGCCCUCUCACUUCUUUUUAACAGUUUCUCUUUGUCAGUGAUUUUUUUUUUUUUUUUAGAGGAGUGUCGCUCUGUCGCCCAGGCUGCAGUGCAGUGGCGCCAUCUCGGCUCACUGCAAGCUCUGCCUCCCGGGUUCACGCCAUUCUCCUGCCUCAGCCUCCUGAGUAGCUGGGACUACAGGCGUCCACCACCACGCUUGGCUAAUUUUUUUUGUAUUUCUUUAGUAGAGACCGGGUUUCACCAAGUUAGCCAGGAUAAUCUCGAUCUCCUGACCUCGUGAUCUGCCCGCCUCAGCCCCCCAAAGUGCUGGGAUUACAGGCGUGAGCCACCGCACCCAGCCUGUUAGUGAUUUUUAGCCAUUUAUUUUGUGCCCUAUCUUUGUUUUCUUUGUAUUUAUCUGUCUUGGAUAUCAUUGAGUUUCUCUGAUUUGUGGGUAGAUGUCUUGCAUCAGUUUUGAGAAAUUCUCAAUCAUUAUCUCUUCAGAUAUGGUUUUUGCUGCAUUCUCUAUGCCUGUUCUCCGAGACACCAAUUACAUAUGUAAGAUUAUUAUUAUUAUUAUUGAGACAGAGUUUCACUCUUUUUGCUCAAGCUGGAGUGCAGUGGCGCAAUCUCGUCUCACUGCAACCUCUGCCUCUGCCUCCCGGGUUCAAGCGAUAAUCCUGCCUCAGCAGUAUUAUCUACUGAGGUAGAUAAUACUAUUAUAAUAGUAUUAUUAUCGAGUAGCCAGAAUUACAAGCGCCCACCACCACGCCCGGCUAAUUUUUGUAUUUUUAGUAGAGAUAGGGUUUCACCAUGUUGGUCAGGCCGGUCUUCAACUCCUGACCUCCGGUGAUCCACCUGCCUCAGCCUCCCAAAGUGCUGGGAUUACAGGCAUGAGCCACGGCACCCAGCCCAUAUGUAAGAUUAUUUGAUCUUGUUCACCGUGUCUUUUACACUUUGUGAUGUCAAUUUUUUUUUCAAUUAUUCAGUUUGAAGGUUUUCUGUUUUUCAGGUUAUUGAGUCUAUCUUCUAUAAUCUCCAAUCUGCUGUUAAAUCUAUACAUUGAGUUCUUAAUUUUAAAUAUUAGAUUUUCAGGUUUUGUUUUUUUUUGUUGUUGUUGUUUGUUUUUUUUUUUUGAGGCCAAGCUUCGCCCUUGUUGCCCAGGCUGGAGUACAAUGGCGCAAUCUCGGCUCACUGCAACCUCUGCCUCCCAGGUUCAAGUGAUUCUGCCUCAGCCUCCCAAGUAGCUGGUAUUACAGGUGACCGCCACCACACCCAGCUAAUUUUUGUAUUUUUAGAAGAGAUAGAGUUUCACCAUGUUGGCCAGGCUGGUCUCAAACCCCUGACCUCGUGAUCCACCCAUCUCAGCCUUCCAAAGUGCUGGGAUUACAGGCGUGAGCCACUGCAUCUGGCCUGUUGUUACCAUCCUUAUAUCCACGAAUACUCAUUAUUUAGCUUCUACUUAUAACUGAGAGCAUGUAGCAUUUGGAUUUUUGUUCCUGCAUUAUUUCACUUAGGAUAACAGCCUCAAGCUACAUUCAUAUUUCAGCAAAAGACAUGACUUCAUACUUUUUAUGGCUGUGAAGUAUUCCAUAGCGUGUUUGUACAUUUUCUUUAUCCAGUCCACCAUCGAUGGGCACCGAGGUUGACUCCAUGUCAUUGCUAUUGUGAACAGUGCUGCAAUGAACAUACAAAUGCAUGUGUUUUUUUGGUAGGAUAAUUUAUUUUCUUUUGGAUGUAUACCCAGUAAUGGGAUUGCUGGAUCAAAUGGUAGUUCUGUUUUAAGUUAUUUAAGAAAUCUCCAGGCCGGGCACAGUGGAUCACGCCUGUAAUCCCAGCACUUUGGGAGGCCGAGUGGAGCAGAUCACCUUAGGUCAGGAGUUUGAGACCAGCCUGGCCAACAUGGUGAAACCCUGUCUCUACUAAAAACACAAAAAUUAGCUGGGUGUGGUGGUGGGUGACCGUAAUCCCAGCUACUCUGGAGGCUGAGGCAGGAGAAUUGCCUGACCCUGGGAGGCAGAAGUUGCAGUGAGCCGAGAUCGUACCACUGCACUCCAGCAUGCGUGACAGAGCAAGACUCUGUCUUGAAGAAAAAAAAAAGAAAAGAAAUCUCCAAACUGCUUUCCACAGUAACUGAACUAAUUUACAUUUUCACCAACAGAGUAUAAGUGUUCCCAUUUCUCUGCAGCCUCAACAGCAUGUUAUUUUUUGGCUUUUUAAUAAUAGCUAUUCCGACUGGUGUGAGAUG